AGAUCACAUAAACAUAAUGUAGGUAUUUUAUAGUUUAAAAGAGUACUGGAGAUAUUGAAGAAGAGAAAAAAUAAUUUCUUUUGUCAUUAACUAUCGCAUCUUUAGGUGUAGUAUCUGUAAUAAGCAUAAAGCGGGGAUUGGUAUUAAUUGAAUCAAAAGUUGAAGCGAGAAAGCAUCAUUAAUUUCCCCCUCGCUCCCAGCGAACCCAUUCCAAUAUGGUU